rnacentral:tRNA from 1 species
AAGACCCUAGUAAAACAUUAUAUAGCCCCGUCAGAGCUAAGUUAUAGGUCACCCCUAUGGGUCUUG